GCUCGGCCUGGGCGACCGGGAAGCGCGGCCUCCGGCGGCUGGCCCAGUCUGGUUUCAGGUCGGGGACCGCUUCUUUGUUUGUUUUCCUGGGUGCGGGCCGCUCUCGGAGCGUGGGAACCAGAGGGAGAUAGAAGUAGUGCUUUAGGUGGAGCCUACGCCAGACGAGAAGACUCAAGAGUGUGCGGACACACACACGCUCUCUGAAAGAAAACCUUGGUUUUAUCUUAUUUUUUCACUUCUGGUUGCGUACGAUAGUUGAGAAAUAAAAGGGGAAAAAAUUGCCAAGUGUUUAGAGGUCAUUUCAUGCCGUGGAAGCAAUGCACAGCAGUGGUUUAUUGUUCUCCCCCAGAGCAGCUUUUCUUGAGGACUGAAGGAAUGAACAGUCAUUCAUUAAACAGAAAGAAUCUUGAAAGCUGCCGGUUACUAUUGGUUCUGCUAGUUAUCAAAGUGAUCUUUUAGUUGGCAUCCAGUAACAAAGUAUAUUGCUGAAGUGGACUGAUGAAUGUAAAGCAUGGUUUCCAGGAUAAUGUUACUGUGCUCUUAUAAGAAGGAGGAAUGUGGAAGAGAUCCUGAAGAGACAAAAUUAAACAAGAUUUCUAUUUAUUUAAUGGUGUGGGGAGUGGUGGCGAGGGUAAGAAAUAGGGAGACAUCUUAAUGAUUAAUUUCAGGAAAGAAAGCUUUAAUUUAUCUUUCUUGUUCUUGUGCUAGUGACUAAGGACCUAAAAAAAGCUGCAAGAAAAAAGCAAACAAGGACAAUUUUGUUAAAACUUACACCUAUUACGUGUUUAUGUCAUUUUGUGCACAACACUUAAGAAACUGAAGCUAAGUUUUUUCUAAAUGUGACGUCAAAUUCCAGGAUAAAAUAUCAAUAUUUAUCAACUUUAAUAAACAAAGUCAACAAGUAUUUCUUUUGCACACUAGAAGUAUAUAUAUAUGUAUAUAUAUUUGUUUUUUAUUGAUUUU